rnacentral:tRNA from 1 species
GCCUGGGUGGCUCAGUUGGUUGGGCAUCUGACUUCAGCUCAAGUCAUGACCUUGGGGUCCUGGGAUCAAGCCCCAGGUCAGGCU